rnacentral:tRNA from 5 species
GGGGCUGUAGCUCAGCUGGGAGAGCGCUGCGUUCGCAAUGCAGAGGUCAGGGGUUCGAUCCCCCUCAGCUCCA